rnacentral:rRNA from 1 species
GCUCGAGUUGUAAUUUGGAGAGGCAACUUCGAAGAGGGCGUUGGCCUAAGUUCCUUGGAACAGGACGUCACAGAGGGUGAGAAUCCCGUGCUUGGCCGACUGUCCCUCUUCAUGUGAAGUGUCUUCGACGAGUCGAGUUGUUUGGGAAUGCAGCUCAAAAUGGGUGGUAAACUCCAUCUAAGGCUAAAUAUUGGCGAGAGACCGAUAGCGCACAAGUAGAGUGAUCGAAAGAUGAAAAGCACUUUGAAAAGAGAGUUAAAAAGUACGUGAAAUUGUUGAAAGGGAAGCGCUUGAGACCAGACUCAGUGCUAGGUGAUCAGCGGUUACUUCUGUACCGUGCACUUGCCUUUUACUGGGCCAGCAUCAGUUACGGCGGUGGGAUAAAGACUCAGGGAAUGUGGCUCUCUUCGGGGAGUGUUAUAGCCCUGGGUGUAAUGCCACCUGUUGUGACUGAGGACCGCGCUUCGGCUAGGAUGCUGGCAUAAUGGUCUUCAGCGACCCGUCUUGAAACACGGACCAAGGAGUCUAACAUCUAUGCGAGUGUUCGGGUGUAAAACCCCUACGCGUAAUGAAAGUGAACGGAGGUGGGAACCUUUUAGGUGCACCAUCGACCGAUCCUGAUGUCUUCGGAUGGAUUUGAGUAGGAGCAUAGCUGUUGGGACCCGAAAGAUGGUGAACUAUGCCUGAAUAGGGUGAAGCCAGAGGAAACUCUGGUGGAGGCUCGCAGCGGUUCUGACGUGCAAAUCGAUCGUCAAAUUUGGGUAUAGGGGCGAAAGACUAAUCGAACCAUCUAGUA